rnacentral:rRNA from 1 species
UACGUAGGUGGCAAGCGUUGUCCGGAUUUACUGGGCGUAAAGAGCGCGCAGGCGGUCGUUCAAGUCGCGUGUGAAAGCCCCCGGCUCAACUGGGGAGGGUCACGCGAUACUGAUCGACUCGAAGGCAGGAGAGGGUAGUGGAAUUCCCGGUGUAGUGGUGAAAUGCGUAGAGAUCAGGCGGAACACCCGUGGCGAAGGCGGCCAGCUGGGUCGUCCCUGACGCUGAGGCGCGAAGGCGUGGGGAGCGAACGGG